rnacentral:rRNA from 1 species
AUUGAACGCUGGCGGCAUGCCUUACACAUGCAAGUCGAACGGCAGCACGGGGCAACCUGGUGGCGUGUGGCGAACGGGUGAGUAAUGCAUCGGAACGUACCUUUCAGUGGGGGAUAACGUAGCGAAAGUUACGCUAAUACCGCAUAUUCUGUGAGCAGGGAAGCAGGGGAUCGCAAGACCUUCCGCUGAUUGAGCGGCCGAUGUCAGAUUAGCUAGUUGGUGAGGUAAAGGCUCACCAAGGCGACGAUCUGUAGCGGGUCUGAGAGGAUGAUCCGCCACACUGGAACUGAGACACGGUCCAGACUCCUACGGGAGGCAGCAGUGGGGAAUUUUGGACAAUGGGGGCAACCCUGAUCCAGCCAUGCCGCGUGAGUGAAGAAGGCCUUCGGGUUGUAAAGCUCUUUCGGCCGGGAAGAAAUCGCACGGGCUAAUACCCUGUGUGGAUGACGGUACCGGAAUAAGAAGCACCGGCUAACUACGUGCCAGCCGCCGCGGUAACAC